GGUUUCAUGGUGUAGAAGAUGUCUGUUUCACAUACAGAAGGUCCUGGGUUCAAACCACAGUGGAACCA
rnacentral:tRNA from 1 species